rnacentral:rRNA from 1 species
GUUGUAUUAGCUAGUAGGUGAGGUAACGGCUCACCUAGGCGACGAUACAUAGCCGACCUGAGAGGGUGAUCGGCCACACUGGGACUGAGACACGGCCCAGACUCCUACGGGAGGCAGCAGUAGGGAAUCUUCGGCAAUGGGGGCAACCCUGACCGAGCAACGCCGCGUGAGUGAAGAAGGUUUUCGGAUCGUAAAGCUCUGUUGUAAGUCAAGAACGAGUGUGAGAGUGGAAAGUUCACACUGUGACGGUAGCUUACAGAAAGGGACGGCUAACUACGUGCCAGCAGCCGCGGUAAUACGUAGGUCCCGAGCGUUGUCCGGAUUUAUUGGGCGUAAAGCGAGCGCAGGCGGUUUGAUAAGUCUGAAGUUAAAGGCUGUGGCUCAACCAUAGUUCGCUUUGGAAACUGUCAAACUUGAGUGCAGAAGGGGAGAGUGGAAUUCCAUGUGUAGCGGUGAAAUGCGUAGAUGUAUGGAGGAACACCGGUGGCGAAAGCGGCUCUCUGGUCUGUAACUGACGCUGAGGCUCGAAAGCGUGGGGAGCGAACAGGAUUAGAUACCCUGGUAGUCCACGCCGCAAACGAUGAGUGCUAGGUGUUGGAUCCUUUCCGGGAUUCAGUGCCGCAGCC